rnacentral:rRNA from 1 species
CUCUAAGCAACGGAUGUCUUGGCUCCUCACACGAUGAAGAACGUGGCAUAAUGUGUUAAGUAACCGGAGUUGCAAACAUCAUGACAGGUUAAUCUUUGAAUGCAAAUUGCGCUUACCCGACUUCGGUCGAGGAGCAUGCGUGUAACAGUACAACAUAAUUUAUAAU